rnacentral:rRNA from 1 species
UACGUAGGUGGCGAGCGUUGUCCGGAUUUAUUGGGCGUAAAGCGCGCGCAGGUGGUGCGGUAAGUCUGUCGUGAAAUCUCCCGGCUCAACUGGGAGGGUGCGGUGGAGACUGCCGGACUGGAGGCACUCAGAGGCCGGUGGAAUUCCCGGUGUAGUGGUGAAAUGCGUAGAGAUCGGGAGGAACACCUGUGGCGAAGGCGGCCGACUGGGCCGACCCUGACGCUGAGGCGCGAAAGCUAGGGUAGCAAACGGG